UACGGGAGUGGCAAGCGUUAUCCGGAAUUAUUGGGCGUAAAGCGUCCGCAGGCGGACUGUCAAGUCUGCUGUUAAAGCGUGGAGCUUAACUCCAUUUCGGCAGUGGAAACUGACAGACUAGAGUGUGGUAGGGGCAGAGGGAAUUCCCGGUGUAGCGGUGAAAUGCGUAGAUAUCGGGAAGAACACCAGUGGCGAAGGCGCUCUGCUGGGCCAUAACUGACGCUCAUGGACGAAAGCCAGGGGAGCGAAAGGGAUUAGAUACCCCUGUAGUCCUGGCCGUAAACGAUGAACACUAGGUGUCGGGGGAAUCGACCCCCUCGGUGUCGUAGCCAACGCGUUAAGUGUUCCGCCUGGGGAGUACGCACGCAAGUGUGAAACUCAAAGGAAUUGACGGGGGCCCGCACAAGCGGUGGAGUAUGUGGUUUAAUUCGAUGCAACGCGAAGAACCUUACCAGGGUUUGACAUCCUGCGAAUCUCUUGGAAACGAGAGAGUGCCUUCGGGAACGCAGUGACAGGUGGUGCAUGGCUGUCGUCAGCUCGUGUCGUGAGAUGUUGGGUUAAGUCCCGCAACGAGCGCAACCCACGUCGUUAGUUGCCAGCAUUCAGUUGGGCACUCUAGCGAGACCGCCGGUGAUAAACCGGAGGAAGGUGUGGAUGACGUCAAGUCAUCAUGCCCCUUACAUCCUGGGCUACACACGUACUACAAUGCUACGGACAAAGGGCAGCAAACUCGCGAGAGCUAGCAAAUCCCAUAAACCGUGGCUCAGUUCAGAUCGUAGGCUGCAACUCGCCUACGUGAAGGAGGAAUCGCUAGUAAUCGCAGGUCAGCAUACUGCGGUGAAUACGUUCCCGGGCCU
rnacentral:rRNA from 1 species